rnacentral:rRNA from 1 species
CUCAGGACGAACGCUGGCGGCGUGCCUAAGCUUAUGCAAGUCGAACGCGAACGGCUCCUUCGGGAGCCUAGUAGAGUGGCAAACGGGUGAGUAACGCGUGGGUAACGUACCCUGAUCCUGGGAAUAACCCUCGGAAACGAGGGCUAAUACCGAAUGUGGCGAACGACCGGUUGGUCGCUCGCUAAAGGUGGCCUCUUCUAUGCUGCCGGGUUGGGAUCGGCCCGCGUCCCAUUAGCUAGUUGGUGAGGUAACGGCUCACCAAGGCCACGAUGGGUAGCCGGCCUGAGAGGGUGUACGGCCACACUGGCACUGAGACAAGGGCCAGUCCCCUAUGGGAGGCGCAGGCGGGAAUAGUUCACAAUGGGCGAAAGCCUGAUGACGCGACGCCGCGUGAGCGAAGAAGACCUUCGGGUUGUAAAGCUCUGUCAGGAGGGAAGAAGGCUCUACGGGUCAAUAGCCCGUGGGAUUGACGGUACCUCCAGAGGAAGCCCCGGCUAAAUACGUGCCAGCAGCCGCGGUAAUACGUAUGGGGCAAGCGUUGUCCGGAUUUACUGGGCGUAAAGGGCGCGUAGGCGGUUUGUUAAGUCGAAGGUGAAAUCCUCGGGCUCAACUCGAGAAUUGCCUUCGAUACUGGCAAACUAGAGUGGCGGAGAGGAAAGCGGAACUCUUGGUGUAACGGUGGAAUGUGUAGAUAUCAAGAGGAACACCGGUGGCGAAGGCGGCUUUCUGGACGCACACUGACGCUCAGGCGCGAAAGCGUGGGUAGCAAACAGGAUUAGAUACCCUGGUAGUCCACGCCAUAAACGAUGGGUACUAGGUGUCGGGGGUAUCGACCCCUCCGGUGCCGCAGUUAACGCACUAAGUACCCCGNCUGGGGAUUAUGGUCGCAAGGCUGAAACUCAAAGGAAUUGACGGGGCCCCGGACAAGCGGUGGAGCAUGUGGU